CGGUUAUUUUUCGGCGCGGUUUUGUCCGCGGCCUAUUUUUGGCACACGGAGGUCCCUCGUAAAGGCUCGCGCCAUUCCGAGUCCGGCGAAGGAAGUCGGCCAGCCCCACCCCCCAAGGCUAUAGCCCACCCGUUUUUUUGGGCUUUUUCCGCCGGACGAACUUGGCGUCCCGGCCUUCGGGCGGUUAUUUUUGGGCGCGGCUGUGCCCGCGGCCUAUUUUUGGCACACGGAGGUGCCUCGCAAAGUCUCGCUCCAUUCCGAGUCCGGCGGACGAAGUUGGCCAGCCCCACCCCCCAAGGCUAUAGCCCACCCGUUUUUGUGGCCUUUUUCCGCUGGACGAACUUGGCUCCCCGGCCUUCGGGCGGUUAAUUUUGGGCGCGGCUUUGCCCGCGGCCUAUUUUUGGCACAUGGGGGCCCCUCGCAAAGUCUCGCGGCAUUCCGAGUCCGGCGGACGAAGUUGGCCAGCCCCACACCCCAAGGCUAUAGCCCACCCGUUUUUGUGGCCUUUUUCCGCUGGACGAACUUGGCGCCCCGGCCGUCGGGCGGCUAUUUUUUGGCGCGGCUUUUCCCACGGCCUAUUUUUGGCACACAGAGGCCCCUCGCAAACUCUCGCGGCAUUCCGAGUCCGGCGGACGAAGUUGGCCAGCCCCACCCCCCAAGGCUGCCCAACCGUAUUUGUGGCCUCUUUCCGCUGGAUGAACUUGGCGCCCCGGCCUUCGGGCGGUUAAUUUUGGGCGCGGCUUUGCCCGCGGCCUAGUUUUUGCACACGGAGGACCCUCGCAAAAUCUCGCGGCAUUCCGAGUCCGGCGGACGAAGUUGGCCAGCCCCACCCCCCAAGGCUAUAGCCCACACGUUUUUGUGGCUUUUUUCCAGUGGAUGAACUAGGCGCCCCGGCCUUCGGGCGGUUAAUUUUGGGCGCGGCUUUGCCC
rnacentral:lncRNA from 1 species